rnacentral:RNase_P_RNA from 1 species
UCAGAUGGUCGGGCGAUCGCUGUAGCUCUUUAAAAGGGCUAGGGAGGAAAGUCCGGGCUCCACAGGAAGACGGUGCCGGCUAACGGCCGGCGGGGGUGACCCUAGGGACAGUGCCACAGAAACAAAACCGUCCGCCUAUCCCCCUUUUUACAAGGGUGAUGCGGAUAAGGGUGAAACGGUGCGGUAAGAGCGCACCGCGCGGCUGGCAACAGCAGCGGACAUGGUAAACCCCACCGGGAGCAAGACCGAAUAGGAAUGACAAGCCACAUAUGGCUGGGGGUGCCUGCCCCGUCAUUCGGGUUGGUUGCGUGAGGUGUAUUGCAAAAUACAUCCCAGAGGAAUGAUCGCCCCAUCCCCAUAAGGGGAUAGGACAGAACCCGGCUUACAGACCAUCUGGCCCU